GAUUAACGCUGGCGGCGUGCAUAACACAUGCAAGUCGAACGAUGAAACUUAAAUGAUUUCUUCGGAAUGAACGUAAGUGGAGUAGUGGUGGACGGGGGAGUAACGCCUGAGUACCCUGCCUUACACAAGGGGAUAGCCGUUGGAUACGACGAAUAAUACCCUAUGAUGUUUCUAUCUCGCGUGAGAAACUAAGCAUAGUGUUAGCGGUGUGAGUUGGACUUGCGUCUGAUUAGCUAGUUGGCGCGAAAAAAGCCCACCAAGGCAACGAUCAGUAGUGGGCUUGAGAGAGUCUACAGCCACAUUGGGACUGGGCCACGGCCCCGACGCGUACGGGCGGCGGCGAUGGUGACUUUAGCAGAAUGAGCGAAAUACUGCUGCAGCGCCGCCGCGUGAAUUGGAAGGCCUUCGGGUUGUAAAAAUCGUUUGUAUAAGAAGAAAAUGACAGUACUAGCAGAAUAAGGUCCGGCUAACUACGUG
rnacentral:rRNA from 1 species